UACGCGGUGGCCUAGUGGAUAACGCUUUUGCCUCGCGAUCUAGAACCCGCGGGUUCAAUUCCACCUGGGGUAA